rnacentral:tRNA from 1 species
GGGGAUGGGCUGUGGCUCAGCGGCAGAGCAUCUGUCUAGCACGCAGAAGGUCCCAGGUUCAGCCCCAGGCAUCCCCU